rnacentral:rRNA from 1 species
AUUGAACGCUGGCGGCAGGCCUAACACAUGCAAGUCGAACGGUAACAGGAAGCAGCUUGCUGCUUUGCUGACGAGUGGCGGACGGGUGAGUAAUGUCUGGGAAACUGCCCGAUGGAGGGGGAUAACUACUGGAAACGGUAGCUAAUACCGCAUAACGUCGCAAGACCAAAGAGGGGGACCUUAGGGCCUCUUGCCAUCGGAUGUGCCCAGAUGGGAUUAGCUAGUAGGUGGGGUAACGGCUCACCUAGGCGACGAUCCCUAGCUGGUCUGAGAGGAUGACCAGCCACACUGGAACUGAGACACGGUCCAGACUCCUACGGGAGGCAGCAGUGGGGAAUAUUGCACAAUGGGCGCAAGCCUGAUGCAGCCAUGCCGCGUGUAUGAAGAAGGCCUUCGGGUUGUAAAGUACUUUCAGCGGGGAGGAAGGGAGUAAAGUUAAUACCUUUGCUCAUGGACGUUACCCGCAGAAGAAGCACCGGCUAACUCCGU